rnacentral:rRNA from 1 species
AUUGAACGCUGGCGGCAGGCUUAACACAUGCAAGUCGAGCGGGGUGAUGGUGCUUGCACUAUCACUUAGCGGCGGACGGGUGAGUAAUGCUUAGGAAUCUGCCUAUUAGUGGGGGACAACAUCUCGAAAGGGAUGCUAAUACCGCAUACGUCCUACGGGAGAAAGCAGGGGAUCACUUGUGACCUUGCGCUAAUAGAUGAGCCUAAGUCGGAUUAGCUAGUUGGUGGGGUAAAGGCCUACCAAGGCGACGAUCUGUAGCGGGUCUGAGAGGAUGAUCCGCCACACUGGGACUGAGGCACGGCCCAGACUCCUACGGGAGGCAGCAGUGGGGAAUAUUGGACAAUGGGGGGAACCCGGAUCCAGCCAUGCCGCGUGUGUGAAGAAGGCCUUAUGGUUGUAAAGCACUUUAAGCGAGGAGGAGGCUCUUUUGGUUAAUACCCAAGAUGAGUGGACGUUACUCGCAGAAUAAGCACCGGCUAACUCUGUGCCAGCCGCCGCAGUAA